UACGAAGGGGGGCUAGCGUUGUUCGGAAUUACUGGGCGUAAAGCGUGCGCAGGCGGCUUCUCAAGUCAGGGGUGAAAGCCCAGAGCUCAACUCUGGAAUUGCCUUUGAGACUGAGAGGCUUGAGUACGGGAGAGGUGAGUGGAAUUCCCAGUGUAGAGGUGAAAUUCGUAGAUAUUCGCAAGAACACCAGUGGCGAAGGCGGCUCACUGGUCCAUAACUGACGCUGAGGCACGAAAGCGUGGGGAGCAAACAGG
rnacentral:rRNA from 1 species